rnacentral:tRNA from 1 species
CCGCCGAUCGCUCGAAAUCCCUAGAAGCGCGAGACUGUAAAUCUUGAGGUCGCUGGUUCGAUCCCGGCUCGGGGGA